GGAUCAAGCCGGAGGAGUGGCUGUUCUCUCCCAGCGUUAACACACAUGUGUAUGUUCUGGUCUUAACACAGACUACUCUACUAACUACUGGUCUAAAACACACCUGGAUCAGACUACUCUACUAACUACUGGUCUAAAACACACCUGGAUCAGACUACUCUACUAACUACUGGAUCAGACUACUCUACUAACUACUGGUCUAAAACACACCUGGAUCAGACUACUCUACUAACUACUGGUCUAAAACACACCUGGAUCAGACUACUCUACUAACUACUGGUCUAAAACACACCUGGAUCAGACUACUCUACUAACUACUGGAUCAGACUACUCUACUAACUACUGGAUCAGACUACUCUACUAACUACUGGAUCAGACUACUCUACUAACUACUGGUCUAAAACACACCUGGAUCAGACUACUCUACUAACUACUGGAUCAGACUACUCUACUAACUACUGGUCUAAAACACACCUGGAUCAGACUACUCUACUAACUACUGGUCUAAAACACACCUGGAUCAGACUACUCUACUAACUACUGGUCUAAAACACACCUGGAUCAGACUACUCUACUAACUACUGGUCUAAAACACACCUGGAUCAGACUACUCUACUAACUACUGGUCUAAAACACACCUGGAUCAGACAACUAACUACUGGUCUAAAACACACCUGGAUCAGACUACUCUACUAACUACUGGAUCAGACUACUCUACUAACUACCGGUCUAAAACCCACCUGGAUCAGACUCAUUUCCACAGAAAAUGGAGCUGCCGUUCUCUGGUCUGGAGUUGACCUUCAUCAUGAUCGCCUUCAUCAUAUUCUCUCUCUUCAGCCUGGCCUCAGUCUGUACUCAGCCAGACACAGAGGAAGCUGUGUGUGAAGAGAAGAGGUUCCAAAGGAGACCAGAGAGGAAGCAACGAGUCAUCGUCAAACUGGCCUCUCAGAAAGAACCCUAAACACUGUCCCAAACUGGCCUCUCAGGAAGAACCCUAAACACUGUCCCAAACUGGCCUCUCAGAAAGAACCCUAAACACUGUCCCAAACUGGCCUCUCAGGAAGAACCCUAAACACUGUCCCAAACUGGCCUCUCAGGAAGAACCCUAAACACUGUCCCAAACUGGCCUCUCAGGAAGAACCCUAAACACUGUCCCAAACUGGCCUCUCAGGAAGAACCCUAAACACUGUCCCAAACUGGCCUCUCAGAAAGAACCCUAAACACUGUCCCAAACUGGCCUCAGAAAGAACCCUAAACACUGUCCCAAACUGGCCUCUCAGGAAGAACCCUAAACACUGUCCCAAACUGGCCUCUCAGAAAGAACCCUAAACACUGUCCCAAACUGGCCUAUCAGAAAGAACCCUAAACACUGUCCCAAACUGGCCUCUCAGAAAGAACCCUAAACACUGUCCCAAACUGGCCUCUCAGAAAGAACCCUGAACACUGUCCCAAACUGGCCUCUCAGGAAGAACCCUAAACACUGUCCCAAACUGGCCUCUCAGGAAGAACCCUAAACACUGUCCCAAACUGGCCUCUCAGAAAGAACCCUAAACACUGUCCCAAACUGGCCUCUCAGAAAGAACCCUAAACACUGUUUCCUGAUGGAUAAUGUAGUGUCUGUCUGUCUGUUU